rnacentral:rRNA from 1 species
GACGCAAGUCUGAUGGAGCAACGCCGCGUGAGUGAAGAAGGGUUUCGGCUCGUAAAGCUCUGUUGGUAGUGAAGAAAGAUAGAGGUAGUAACUGGCCUUUAUUUGACGGUAAUUACCCAGAAAGUCACGGCUAACUACGUGCCAGCAGCCGCGGUAAUACGUAGGUGGCAAGCGUUGUCCGGAUUUAUUGGGCGUAAAGCGAGUGCAGGCGGUUCAAUAAGUCUGAUGUGAAAGCCUUCGGCUCAACCGGAGAAUUGCAUCAGAAACUGUUGAACUUGAGUGCAGAAGAGGAGAGUGGAACUCCAUGUGUAGCGGUGGAAUGCGUAGAUAUAUGGAAGAACACCAGUGGCGAAGGCGGCUCUCUGGUCUGCAACUGACGCUGAGGCUCGAAAGCAUGGGUAGCGAACAGGAUUAGAUACCCUGGUAGUCCAUGCCGUAAACGAUGAGUGCUAAGUGUUGGGAGGUUUCCGCCUCUCAGUGCUGCAGCUAACGCAUUAAGCACUCCGCCUGGGGAGUACGACCGCAAGGUUGAAACUCAAAGGAAUUGACGGGGGCCCGCACAAGCGGUGGAGCAUGUGGUUUAAUUCGAAGCAACGCGAAGAACCUUACCAGGUCUUGACAUCCAGUGCAAACCUAAGAGAUUAGGUGUUCCCUUCGG